GACGUCCAGGCCACUCCUCCGAUUCAUCUGCAAUAAUAUUAAAAUGCCUUUUGAAAAGUGCUCUUGAUUUUCCAUCGUUCUCUACUGUGGUUGGCAAGUAGAACAUUUAACUUCUCUAAGAACAUCCAUCAAAUGAAGAAAACAGCUCCUGCCUCAUCGAGUCGUGGAGAAGAAUGUUUAACAUGGUGCUGGAUGCCAGUGAGCACUUAGUGGGUGUGAACCACCAUUUUUAUUAAGCUAACUAUUAAGGAAAUCCCAGCAUUUCUCAUCAUGCCCUGCAUAUUGGAAUCACCUGCAGACCAAGGAAUCAAUUUCUUGUAAUGUGACCUGGAGCCUAGGAUUUUUUUUUAAUAUAUAUUUUUAAAUUACCUUUAUUUUGUUUAUUUAGUUCGUUUAUGUGGUGCUGAGAAUAGAACCCAGUGCUUCAUGCAUGCUAGGCAAGCACUGUACCACUGAGCCACAAUCCCAGCCCUUUUUUUAGUUGUUGAUGGACCUUUAUUUUGUUUAUUUAUAUGUGGUGCUGAGAAUCAAACCCAGUGCCUCACACAUGCUAGUCAAGCACCCUACCACUGAACUACAAGCCCAGCCCUCACUGGGAUUUUUGAAAAACUCCUCUGGAGAUCACAGCACCAAACGUGUCCAUGUUACUAUGUUACAACAUUCUAGCCCCUCGCAAAAGAGCAAAUGACUUCUCUCAGAGUACCCAGCCCAGCUUCAAUAAGAGAAUGGUAGACAGGAAGAAGAAUGUGCACCUGUCUUUGAGGAGGGACCAAGUUGGAAUCCCUGCUUUGCCAUUUACUGGGUGGGAGUAUACCCAUCUCCCAAGGGAGGAAACCAAGGUUCAGAGAGGUUGAGCAACUGGUCCAAGGUCACACAGCCAGCCUAGUGGACACACCAGGGGAAAUGAAGCCCACUAUGGCUCUUCUUGCAGAGGGGAUUGGAAAAGCUUUGCAGAGGAGGAGCUGGUUCAGUUGAGCCCUCAGUGGUAGAGAUGCCAUCUGCCUACCACCCCCAUCGAUCGGAGAGAUGUGGGCACGUGCAGAUAAGGCGGGGGCUCGCCCAGAG